AAAAAUUAUUUUACCGGGAAUGAACUUUUAUUAAAACUAGCUUUAAAACCCUCGCUCGCUAAAGCUCGCUCGGGGUCGGAGGCCUGGUGUGGCUGGUUUUUGUGCUCGUGCGCUCGCUGCGCUCGCUAACUCGUUGUCAGUGUUUUA